CCCAUACUCGUCUUUAGACUUAGAAUUAUGGUAGUUGUAGUGCAACACCACCGGGGAACAACGGCAGGACACAUGGGCUAUCCACGAACUCUCAAAAGAAGAAUUGGGAUCCUCUCCCAUACCUUACGGGAAUUAAACUUCCUGUGCAAAUAUUCCUUUUGGUAUUAUGGCAGACUGCCUCAUUAUAAUGUGAAUGGCUAAUAUUUUGUAAAGUGACUUUAUAAUGAUUUGGAG